GGCACUCAGGACGAGCCGGCAAGUUCUCUCCGGCCCGGCGGCUCAGACUCCUCUCCAGCAGCAAACCCAGAAAAUCGGGUCUUAGAUGGGCAGAUGUUCAGAGCAAUUUCAGGUUCACAGCCAUGUGGAGCAGCAGGUACAGAGAGUCCCACACCUCCUGGUGGCAUUGUCUGUGCUUCUUGAAGCACGCCCUGGCCUGGAGACAGAGCCCAGUGCUGCCUGCCCAGCUCUCUGCUAUGGCCUGGGAUAGCAGUAGAAGAUGGCCCAAGUCCUUGGGCCCCUGCAACCACGUGGGAGACCCAGAAGAGGCUCCUGGCUCCUGGCUUGGGAUCAGCACAGCUCCAACCAUUGCAGUCAACUGUUCCCUGCUAUGGCCUGGGAAAGCACCAAAAGAUGGCCCAAGUCCUUGGACCCCUGCCACUCACACAGGAGGGAAGCUCCUGGCUCCUGGCUUCAUCCUGGCUCAGCACUGGCUGUUGUGGCCAUUUGGGGAGUGAACCAGUGGAUGGAGGAUCCAUAUCUCUGCCUCUCUGUCUGUAACUUUGCCUUUCUGUCUUUCAAAAUAAAUAAAUCUUGAAGAAAAAAAAAAAAAAGCCAGUCCCAUAGCAAGCUUCGCCUGUGACUUGCUGGUGGAGUGGCCUCCAGUCGGUGACUCGCUGCUUGGUGCCUCAGUAGUCCCACUUAUAAUAUGGAAACGCGGUGGGAGCCUUUACAGGGGGCUGAGGGGUUUGGCGAGCCAGUGCCUGGAGCGCUUAGCAGUAGCCUUCCCAUAGCCCACGCACCCAGGGAGCCAACCAUCGCCACUGCUGCCCCUGCCGGCUGAGCGUUGAGGUAUUAGAAAGUGGACUGGCAUAAGAAAAGCAGUUUUGUUUUGUUUCAAACUUCAGAGAGGCGACUGGCUGAUCCCGGACGUGGACGCGGCCGCCCGUGCCUGCGAGCGAAGGGUUUUGAGGCUGCUCUGAGCCAGCUGCAGACGCCGCUCCCCCAUCGCCCCAGCCUCCUCCCACCCACACGCUCACGAAGCUGCUUUUCUGUGGCAGAAACCCGGCCUUCUUCCUUUUCCGCAGACCCCAGGAGGAAGCCCCCUGCCCUGCUCCACCCGUCCCGCCAUGGAGUCAUUAGCUCGGCCCCUCCCCCGGGGUCCACGCGAGGUCUUGGUCUCUUUCCUGAGACUCAGUCUCCUCUUCUGCCCUUCGGGGAUGGAGCACCCCUGCCCCGCUGCCUGACGGGGCUGUGGGGGAGGGGGGCAAUCUGAGCACCAAUGGGAAUGUGCUUUGUGACAGCAAGCCUCACACCCCAGGGACACACCGCGGGGACACACUACUGUCACUGCAGCCCCCCCCCCGGGGGGGGGAACCAACCCUGACCCCCGAGGGAGGUCCAGCUUCUGGGCCGGGCAUGCAGUUCCCGGUGGCCCCAAGACUGCUGAAAAGCAAACUCCACCCACUUCCCCUCAAGGGGCUCCAGGUUCUUGCAGACCAAAGUCACCUGUUACUGUGAGCUCUGUGUGACCCCGGCGAUGGCUCGCAGCCACAGCCAUGAAACACACCUAUUAAACUUUAUGGGCCACAGCACUGCAGAGACAGAUCAGUGCAAAGGUGGAAAACACGCCUCCACCCUGGGGACAGAAGCCGGGGCCGGCUCUGCUCCUUGUGGGGAGCCGGGCCAGGGCACGGGCCACGUCUGGCCACUGUGGUGCCGUUUCAGAGUCCCCAGCUACCUCAGCCCCCACGCGGUCUAACCAUCUGCACCCGGGGCAUGGGCGGCCAGCUGGAUAGGAGUAACCUGUGGUGUGGACUUCGGUCCUCCUGCACAUCCUAGGGGCCUGAGGGGCCACAGCCUGGCUUCUGUCUCCAACUGGAUCUGUUUCUCGUCGUCCCCUCCUGCCAGGGCUCCAGGCCCCCACAGCUGCCCUGCGGCCCACAUGAGGUCAGCCGGGCACGGGGCUGUUUGUGGCCCAGGACCAGACCCUGCCUGCGGAAGCUCACAGGGAAGAGGGCUGAGCAGUCAGGGGCCUCGCUGGUGGUUCUGGGGUCCCCCUGCCUGGCCGCUCACCAGAACCCCUGCCAGUCUCUCCGCUCUGCUCUGAGAGGGAAACAGCGCUUCCCAGGCUCCAGUCAGCCCACCCCCCACCCCGCACAAUUCUUGCGGUAGCUGCGCAGCACCGGCGCUGUUGUUUGCGCGGUGGUCAUCAGUAAAUGAGCCAGAAAUCGUCUGCAACAUUACUUUGCGGAAGCGCCCCGAGCACGCACAGUGGAUUCACGCGAGCGGCGCCAGGCACUGAGAGCUGCGACUGGGGGGAGCAGGUGCGCGUGGGGACCCAUCUGGGGACUGGGACUUUUUCUCUCCGAACACACACUGAGUUGAGUGCGGGGUACCCCAGGCCUGCGGGUCACGGCCCCUUUAUUUUACGCGAUGCUGGCUCGGGGCCACGCCCCCUGCCCCAGGAGUGGGCUGGCAGCCCCAGGCCGGUCCCCAAGUUCACAGAGAAGGAGACCAAGAUUGGGAGAGGCCAGCAUACCAACUCCAGGCACGACGAAGACUGGACUGGGGCUGGGGGAGGCGUGGGGCUGUCUCCUGGGGCCCUGGCACAUGCCCAGGAGGGGGCUGCUGGCCAAGGAAGCAAGGCUAAGCUGACUUGAUUGGGUUAAGAUGGAAGGCAGCCCUCCAAUUCCAGCCGUGGUGGGAACACCGUUACCACUGCAGCCGUGCAGUCACGGCACUGAGGCAGGGGUGCAGCCCACACCCCUCAGAACCUGCAACGAACAUUCCAGAAGUUUAGUACAGCUGGUAGUGGAGAGCAACCGCAUCAGAUCAAAAGUGACUUUUGUCUUGGUCUUGAACACCUGCCUGAAAAGCUGAACCCGGAUGGAAGAAUGGACACAAUCUCCCCUGCCCUCCUGUUUGAAAAUUUAGAGGAAAAAAUUAUCUAUCUAUUUAUUUAGACAGGCAGAGUGGACAGUGAGAGAGAGAGACAGAGAGAAAGGUCUUCCUUUGCACCGUGCUGAUCCAAAGGCAGGAGCCAGGUGCUUCUCCUGGUCUCCCAUGGGGUGCAGGGCCCAAGCACUUGGGCCAUCCUCCACUGCACUCCCUGGCCACAGCAGAGAGCUGGCCUGGAAGAGGGGCAACCGGGACAGAAUCCAGCGCCCCAACCGGGACUAGAACCCGGUGUGCCGGCGCCGCAAGGUGGAGGAUUAGCCUAGUGAGCCGCGGCGCCGGCCCAUUAUUUUUUUUUAAUUAGAGAGGGUAGCGUGCAGUGGGGAGCAGCCGAGCGAGCGGGGGAGCCCCCAGGAGCCAGCUCCGGGUGCAGGAACCCAGGGAAUCUCAGGUGCCCUGAGGCAGGAAGGCGUUCCAGCUUCUGGGGACUCCUGAGGGGGACUUCUGAGGCCUGGGCACGAGGCCGGAAGUGCGAUUCUGCCAAGGACGUUGCCCAGGAAGAGAAAUGGGUCAGAACCCCUGCCAGUGCACACAGCAUUCAGGGAGUGGGGGCAGGAGGGGCCUGGCCCCGAUGUGGCUGUGACCUCAGAUGGAUGUCUCCCUGGCUCCUGGGGCCCGGUCCCCUCCUGCAGCUGCUGCUCUUCACAACAGAGCUGACAGUCACUACCCCUCCCCUGCCCAGGGACACAGAACAACUCACGGGCACAGUGCCUGGCAUCUGCCCGCCCAGCAGCUUAGACCCUGCCCAGAGCACCCUGGGCUCCAGGUCACACAGCUGCAGCUGAAGGGUGGAGGCCGUUUUCAUGAUCCAAAAUGGUGCAGAGGUUAGGAGGCGGGAUUCUAAUUUAUGAUCAGAGCUGGACAGCUGGUGAGCUGCGGGCAGCGGCUUCCUCCCGCCGAGGAGCUGGCAGGGAGGGGCGGGCCUUGUAUGAAGGGUUGGGGUGGCAAGGCCCACAGCAGCAGGGGCAGCCCUGACCGAGCCCAUGACACUGCUCCUAAACCCCCAAUCCUGAGAGUUCUCAUGGAACAUGCGAACUGCAAAGAAUCAUGGACGUCCUGGUUCCAUGCUCCACUUCACAGACAGGAAGCAGGCACCGGGGGGUGAGGGGGCUGGGCACAGGGGAGCAGCUAGGCCUGGAAGGCAGGUGGGCACCCCUACACCCACAGCAGCAGCUGGAAUCCCCUACCAGGAAGCCCUUGCUGGGUCACCAUGGGCACAUGGGGCCUUCACCCCCACCAGGCUUUUAAAAAUCCGUGUGCAUACAUUUUAAUUAAUACUUCGUUACAUGGUAUAGGACAUGUUCUUUUUGGGAAUUAAUUUCACUGCCUCCUGAGCACAUGGUGGUUGCUUGGUGUUUGUUGAAUGAAUGAAUGCCUGUCCCUACCACCACUUCGGGCCGCAGGCUUCUGUCAGCUCAUCCCUGGACAGCAGUAAGCUCUCUGGUGCUUUUUCCCUGCCCCUCGAUGUCCCUCCCCCAAGAGUCCCCCUCCCCUACCCGACCUGGUCACAGCACAGGGGCCCAGGAGGCAGGAAGGCAAACAAGAGUGCUGGAGGCUUCCUCGACUUCCUGAUCUCCUGGCCUGGGCUUAUUGAUCUCACCUGGCUAGUUUGGGGACACCUUCUGGAUUUUUCCAAGCCAGCCCCAAGCUUUGGGACAUUUCCCCCCGAGACACCCAGACACCCUCCCGCCCCACUCAGCCUCUCCUCUGCUCACAAGCGCUCCUUUUCCUCAGCGGCUGCCGUGCCUUUGCCCUGUCUCUCCCGAGUGCUGGGAUGGGAAGACCUCAGGCAUCUGCGGGACCCUCCCAAGGCACAGCUGGCCCUCCGGAAAUGAAGGCACCAGGCUGGAGGCUCUGCAGGGCCCAGCACUGCCCCGCCUGGGAGGGAGCGAGGUCUCCAUAAGCAAGGAUGUGCCCGGGAUGCCCCAGAAGAUUUAGUAGUAGGGCUGAGAGCAAGAGUCUCAGAGCACACGCGAAUCAGUGUGUCUGAUCCCUGAGGUCAAGGGCAGGGACAGGGUUUUCAAGAAGGAGGGUGUGGGGGCCGUUGCUGUAGCGUAGCAGGUAAAGCCGCUGCCUUCAGUGCCAGCAUCCCAUACAGGGGCCGGUUCAGGUCCUGCCUGCUCCACUUCCUAUCCAGCUCUCUGCGUACGGCAGGGAAAGCAGUAGAAGAUGGCCCAGGUGCUUGGGCCCCUGCACACACGUGGGAGACCUGGAAGGUUGCUGCGGCCAUUUGGAGAGUGAAGCAGUGGCUGGAAGAUCUCUCACUAUAUAACUCUGCCAUUCUAAUAAAUAAAUUUUAAAAAAAGGAGGGUGUGGUCAGCAGUGCCCAGGAAGCUGGGGGCUGAGGACACGUGAGCUCCACUCCUUGAGGGGGAGGCAUGCACCCCCACCCCGGAGCAAGCUCAGGGCUCGGGCUGGAGAGGCGCUGAGGCUCCGAGAGUGUGAGGCUGCAUGGGCGAGCCGGGAAGGGUGUGGGCUUCCCACCGGACCCCAGGGACGAGCGCCCUGAGCAGAAACAGGGUGGGACAGAAACCAAACAAAUGGCUCCUUUAAAGCCACCUGGAGCCCAUGUCCAGGAAUGUUGGAUGUGGGCUUCUCUUUCCUGCAGCAGGAUAUUCAAAGAAAACAACUCUUUCAAGGCUGCAGCUCCAAAGCAGAGCGUCCUCUGUGCACCUCCUUCUGGCCUGGGCGUCAGGAACAGGCCUCCUCUGCCUUCCGGGCUGGAUGGUGCCCAAGGCAGCUGGAGCCCCCUGGCCAGGCUGGGCCUGCAGCCCAAGCCUCCACUGCGGAUUUGGAGUGAGGCAGACACAGCCGGACCCUGAAGCCUUCCAGAGGUUUCCUCUACCCCAGGGUCCUUUUUUUUUUCCUUCUUAUAUAUUUGAAAGUCAGAGUUACAGAAGGAGAGGGAGCAAUCUUCCCUCUGCUGGUUCACUCCCCAAAGUGUGAACUGGGCCAGGUUGAAGCCAGCAGCCAGGAGAUUCUUCUGAGUCUCCUAUGUGAGUGCAGGGGCCCAGGAACUUGGGCCCUCCUCCACUGCUCUCCCAGGCACAUUAGCAGGAAGCUGGAUGGGAAGUGGAGCAGCCAGGACUUGAACCGGGACCCACGUGGAACAUCAGCACUGCAGGCGGUGGCUUAACCCAGUGUGUCACAACCCCCUCCCCCAACCCACCCAGGCACUCUCUUUACUCUCUCUCUCUUUUAAAGAUUUAUUUAUUUGAAAGUCAGAGUUACACAAAGAGAAGAGGGGAAGAGAGAGAGAGAAAGAGGUCUUCCAUUCACUGGUUCACUCCUCAAUUGGCCAUAACAACCGGAGCUGUGCCAAUCCAAAGCCAGGAGUCAGGAGCUUCUUCCAGGUCUCCCAAGCGGGUAUGGGGGCCCAAGGACUGGGGCCAUCUUCUACUGCUUUCCCAGGCCAUAGCAGAGAGCUGGAUCAGAAAUGGAGCAGCAGGGACUAGAACCGGUGCCCAUAUGGGAUGCCAACACUGCAGGCAGCGGCUUUACCCGCUACGCCACAGCGCCAGUGCCACUCAGGGCACUCUUGAGGAAGGGCUGCAGACUGUGUUGCCAGCUGGGAACAGAAGGGGCCCUAUCCCUGCCCCAAAUUCCAUUUCAGCCUGAUCUGCCCCUAGGAGUAGCUAACUUACGAAGGAGGGGUCAGGGAAGAGCGACCUGAGGUUGGAAUUUAAGACGUGGCACCCGUUCUCAGCCCUGGCCUUUCCAGAGGCUCUAAAUCCCUGGGCCUGCCAAAGGGUCAGGAAAUGGAGUCAAAAGAGAAAAGGAGUGUCUUCUGCCAGGGCCCCAGCCCCAGCCGGCCCUCCUGCCCCUGGACCCUUGAAAGCAGCAUCCCCCAGGACGUACCUGAGCAGCCCUCCAGAGCACCGGGAGGGAGACCGGGCCUGGGGGGCUUGGCUUUUGCAGGUGAGGGAGAGGACGCCACUCCCACUCUGCAGCUGGACUCCGCCCUGGAAGGGAAAGGACAGGCAGGAGGGCGGGUCUCCCCUGGCGCCAGCGGCUGGAGGGCAGAUGUGGCACAGCCCACAGUGCCAAGGGGCGGAACCCUCACUGGGCCUCAUGACCCCCUGACCCCUUGCUGCUAGGGGGCAGCCCAGGCCCAGCAGCACUCAGGUUCAGGCAAAGGGGCUGCAAGAGGUGGGGGAUGUCCGGCCCACAGGUCUUGUGAGGCCUGGGAGAUCACUGGGUCUGGCCCUGCCAACGGAACCACAGGUGGGACCUGAAACUCAAUAAUUCUAA